CAGGAAUGUGAGCAUGAAGGACUG
rnacentral:piRNA from 1 species